UCAAGAUUUCCUUAAGAUCUCAAAAUCUUCCAAAGAUUAGCAAGAUCAAUUCAUAUCUCACCAAAUAUUUUCUCUCUCCCUCACUCACCAUUUUCGGCCCUCUCUCCCUCUCCUUCAUCUCUCAUUUCCUCCAUUUUCCUCCAUUGAAGAAAACCUUCGGAGCUCCCAAAAAUAUUACCAAACACCUCAAUCCACUCUAAAAUAUUCCAUAAACACAUUCUAGCCACUUAUAAUCAAGAGAAUCCUUGAAGAAGAGCCUCAAAGUUAGAGUGAGAAAGUGUGAACUUUGGUAAGAAACUUGGGCCCGAGCGAGACGAAGAAGUAAGUUGCCUGAUUUCUUUCCAGGAUUAGCGAAGGACUUCAGACGGACCCGGCCAUUGCAGCGUUAUAUUACUGCCGAUGGAGUCGAGACAUGGGUACCUAUUCCCGAGGUGCCUGUUUAUGGUCUGAUGGUGGACACCGAUGUCGAGGAUGAGCCGAGCGACGAUAGCGUCUACCGAUUGAUCGACGAGUACGAAAGUCAGGAGUCAGAGCCGAGCAAGAAGACGGAGCCGAGUGAAGAUAUGGAGGUUGACGAGGCGACGAGUAGGAUUUUAGGAGACGAUGGCUAGUUAGCACGUGUAUCUAGUAGACACGUACAUAUGUAUAGAUGCAUAGUUGAUAUAUACGUAUAUGUAUAUAUAUAGGUAGAGAGGCAUAGUAUAGUGCGUAGUAGUAGAUAGUGUAUAUCUAUAGACGCUUAGUACCUAUGAUACUUGUAUAGCUAGAGCAUCAUUUUAGUGUUAGGACCUUUGUACAGAGGAUCCUACUUUUGUAAAAGACCUCGAGA